rnacentral:rRNA from 1 species
AGGGGAGCCGAAGGGAAACCGAGUCUUAACUGGGCGUUAAGUUGCAGGGUAUAGACCCGAAACCCGGUGAUCUAGCCAUGGGCAGGUUGAAGGUUGGGUAACACUAACUGGAGGACCGAACCGACUAAUGUUGAAAAAUUAGCGGAUGACUUGUGGCUGGGGGUGAAAGGCCAAUCAAACCGGGAGAUAGCUGGUUCUCCCCGAAAGCUAUUUAGGUAGCGCCUCGUGAAUUCAUCUCCGGGGGUAGAGCACUGUUUCGGCAAGGGGGUCAUCCCGACUUACCAACCCGAUGCAAACUGCGAAUACCGGAGAAUGUUAUCACGGGAGACACACGGCGGGUGCUAACGUCCGUCGUGAAGAGGGAAACAACCCAGACCGCCAGCUAAGGUCCCAAAGUCAUGGUUAAGUGGGAAACGAUGUGGGAAGGCCCAGACAGCCAGGAUGUUGGCUUAGAAGCAGCCAUCAUUUAAAGAAAGCGUAAUAGCUCACUGGUCGAGUCGGCCUGCGCGGAAGAUGUAACGGGGCUAAACCAUGCACCGAAGCUGCGGCAGCGACACUGUGUGUUGUUGGGUAGGGGAGCGUUCUGUAAGCCUGUGAAGGUGUGCUGUGAGGCAUGCUGGAGGUAUCAGAAGUGCGAAUGCUGACAUAAGUAACGAUAAAGCGGGUGAAAAGCCCGCUCGCCGGAAGACCAAGGGUUCCUGUCCAACGUUAAUCGGGGCAGGGUGAGUCGACCCCUAAGGCGAGGCCGAAAGGCGUAGUCGAUGGGAAACAGGUUAAUAUUCCUGUACUUGGUGUUACUGCGAAGGGGGGACGGAGAAGGCUAUGUUGGCCGGGCGACGGUUGUCCCGGUUUAAGCGUGUAGGCUGGUUUUCCAGGCAAAUCCGGAAAAUCAAGGCUGAGGCGUGAUGACGAGGCACUACGGUGCUGAAGCAACAAAUGCCCUGCUUCCAGGAAAAGCCUCUAAGCAUCAGGUAACAUCAAAUCGUACCCCAAACCGACACAGGUGGUCAGGUAGAGAAUACCAAGGCGCUUGAGAGAACUCGGGUGAAGGAACUAGGCAAAAUGGUGCCGUAACUUCGGGAGAAGGCACGCUGA